rnacentral:rRNA from 1 species
CCUACGGGCGGCAGCAGUAAGGAAUAUUGGACAAUGGUCGAAAGACUGAUCCAGCCAUGCCGCGUGAAGGAUGAAGGCCCUAUGGGUUGUAAACUUCUUUUGUACGGGAACAAACCCUCGCUCGUGAGCGAGGCUGAUUGUACUGUAAGAAUAAGGAUCGGCUAACUCCGUGCCAGCAGCCGCGGUAAUACGGAGGAUCCAAGCGUUAUCCGGAUUCAUUGGGGCGUAAGGGUAAGUAGGCGGCAGUGUAGAAAUCUCUCGGCUUAACCGAGAAACUGCCAUUGAUACUGCAAAUCUUGAGUACAUUUGAUGUGGGCGGAAUGUGUCAUGUAGCGGUGAAAUGCUUAGAUAUGACACAGAACACCGAUUGCGAAGGCAGCUCACAAAACUGUAACUGACGCUGAGGCACGAAAGCGUGGGUAUCAAACAGGAUUAGAUACCCCAGUAGUC